rnacentral:rRNA from 1 species
UGGGGUAUAUUGCACAAUGGGCGAAAGCCUGAUGCAGCGACGCCGCGUGGGGGAUGAAGGCUUUCGGGUUGUAAACCUCUUUCGCUAUCGAACAAGGCCCGCUUAGGGUGGGUUGAGGGUAGGUGGAGAAGAAGCGCCGGCUAACUACGUGCCAACAGCCGCGGUAAUACGUAGGGCGCGAGCGUUGUCCGGAAUUAUUGGGCGUAAAGGGCUUGUAGGCGGCUUGUUGCGCCUGCUGUGAAAACGCGGGGCUUAACUUCGCGCGUGCAGUGGGUACGGGCAGGCUUGAGUGUGGUAGGGGUGACUGGAAUUCCAGGUGUAGCGGUGGAAUGCGCAGAUAUCUGGAGGAACACCGAUGGCGAAGGCAGGUCACUGGGCCAUUACUGACGCUGAGGAGCGAAAGCAUGGGUAGCGAACAGG